CUGAGUCUGAAUCCUGUUACUGGGAAGGCAGCAACAGGAACACUCCCCUUUCUGAGUCUUUCAUCUAGAGAGACACUAACAGAAACACCAAAGUUCUGAGUCUCUGAUACAUCCAGAGAGACAGUAGCAGAUACGACGUUCUGAGUCUCUGGCUUGACGAGGAAAGAGAUUUCAAGACAGCUAAGGUUUAACUCAGCUCCUGAGCAAACCUUCCUUAUCGCAUUUGGCUGCCCUUCAGUUGCAAAGGACCCAGCAGUGACGGACCCCGUCUGACUCUUGCCACUCCGAAAGUAGCACAGCCCAGUCCGCAAAGGACCUCCGCAGGCGCAGACACUGCCUGAAACCCACGGUUCCUCAACGACGCAGCCAGGCUGUAAAUGACCCCGUGAAGACUCAUCUGACCCAGCUGCCCGGUCCGUGCUCUAAGGACCCUUUGCGGCACAUCAGAAUUUCAGCAUCCUCCAGGUCAGCGCAUUGACGGCUACCGGAACGCAACUCUGUGCCCUCCACGCUGCACACAGUCUGCAUCACCAGUGGAAGACGUCUCUACCGCCGGACUGAUUAUACUGAACAACACAAAAGACGGCACUAUGAAGGAUAUUUGAUCAAUCCAAUGAAAGUCAGAGGGGUCCAAAAUUAAACUUGGAAUGAUAUGUGGGGAAGAAAAUUCUCCUUGGGAGGUUGAUUAUAUCAGGAUGGAAAGUAGGAGGUGUGCGCAUGGGAACAAGUGGCAGAGGCUGUUUCAAUAGAUUAUGUUUCCAGAGCAGCGUUAUAUGCACACAGGGAGCCGCUUUAAAGCAGACGGCUAUGUUGUGUUUUCCAGCCUCAACACAGCAGCUGUUGGCCAGAGGGAAACCCAACACUUCAAAUCUGAUCUAUACACACAAAGGCAUGCCAUCAUUACAUUGUUUUCAACCGCACUUCUUAAAUAUGAAGACAUUAGCUCUGUUCUAAAACCUAAAUUGAACUGCUUGACUGUAUAGACAGCUGCCAACUAAGGCAGCAUCCUCACUGAAACCAAACCUCUCAAGCAUUUACUCACGACUGAUUCCAAUAGAGUUUGCCAUUAGCAAGUUGCUAAGCUAACCGUGUGAUACAUGUCACUCAUAAAUAUUAGAUAAAACCGAUUAACCAUAUUAUGUGAUUAACAAUAUAUGAUAUGAUUUUCCCAUACGCGUGCAUUAGAACAGAGAACAGUUGUCUGACAAUACGGUGGACGGAAAAGUUGCUAAGGUACUGUAGGUUUGGUCCAUAACUUUUUUUUUAACAUGGGCUAAGAGAACAAUAAAUUACCCAAAUUCACUCAACAUGUCUAUUUGAAGUAAACCCUUGUGAUAAACAAGUACACUUUAGCAUUCUUUUAAAAAAGAGUACAUAUUACGGCAAUAAUACGCUUUAAAAGAAUAUACUUGUGUGAAUUGUGUGAAUAUGCUUGUGUGUAAUUUUUGGACAAUUAAUUGCAUGUCAUUUGCAAUUAAAUGAAUAACCGUUUAGAUUUAUAUUAAAUGCAAUUAGCAUUUACUUUAGAGUGCUUUUUUUUUACCCACUUACAGACUUAAGUACAUCAAUGUAUGUAAUUUUAUAAUUACUUAUAUUGUCAGCCAAGGUGUACUGUUGAAUAAAACAAAUAUUUAUGACAAACUAAAAUAUACUUUAAUACCAUUUAUAUUGAAACUUGUGUCAUGCAUUAAACUAUGUUAUUACAUAUUUGUAAUAUUGAAAUUCAUUACAUUUACAAUGUAAUAACUUUAAAUGUAAUAUCAAAUAACACUCCACAGUUAAAAUUAAAAUCAAGUACUUUACAUGUGCUGUAGUAC